CGGGUGAGUAACGCGUGGAUAACCUGCCUCACACUGGGGGAUAACAGUUAGAAAUGACUGCUAAUACCGCAUGAGCGCACAGUACCGCAUGGUACGGUGUGAAAAACGCCGGUGGUGUGAGAUGGAUCCGCGUCUGAUUAGCCAGUUGGCGGGGUAACGGCCCACCAAAGCGACGAUCAGUAGCCGACCUGAGAGGGUGACCGGCCACAUUGGGACUGAGACACGGCCCAA
rnacentral:rRNA from 1 species